GAUCCUGGCUCAGGAUAAACGCUAGCGGCAGGCCUAACACAUGCAAGUCGAGGGGCAGCGGAUAGAGUAGCUUGCUACUCUUGCCGGCGACCGGCGCACGGGUGCGUAACGCGUAUGCAACCUACCUUUAACAGGGGCAUAACACUGAGAAAUCGGUACUAAUUCCCCAUAAUAUUUCGAGAGGCAUCUCUUGAGGUUGAAAACUCCGGUGGUUAAAGAUGGGCAUGCGUUGUAUUAGCUAGUUGG
rnacentral:rRNA from 1 species